GCCUUCGAGUCUCCGCGCGCUCGAGGCCAAUUACCUUUGCGGCAGAGCAGCCAAUCGAGAAGCUUCGUGUCAGGUGCGCAGUUUGGGUGGCAGCGAAUGUUGUUGGGUGCGUUUUUUCGGUAUAGAAAUUGUUUCUUUAUUUAGCUAAUAAAAAGUUUUAUAGAAACAUUCCAUAGUGUCAGCCAUUUCCGCUGCAGCCGUCCUAGUUUUAAUAAAAUAUUGCCCUCAGCUACUGCAGGUAACAGGUGAGGGAAGGCAAGUAGGGAGAGUUGCGCGUAUGUGCGGAAUUCUUCUUGGUGCCGUUCACGCCGCGCGCGGAUGGAAAAGAAGCGAGUCGACAUGAUUGGAAAACUGGCUUCGCUGAGACAAGUCAAGGUUCUGCAGGUCUUGCUACUCGUCUUAUUUGCAUGUGGAGCUUUAUAUGCGGGCUUGCUAACGUACGAGAUGCACAAGCAACUGAAGAAGUACGAGGCGAUGGUGGUGCAAUUCCGGCAACAUCAGCCUGAUGAGGCGUUCACUGCACAGCCAGGCCGCGGGAACAUAAAUGACCAGUUGGAAGAGAACAGACGGUUGAGGAAUGCUAACCUGGAUGUCAGCUUGGAGUUACAGAAGAAAUACCAGGCAUCUGCAAAAAAGAAGACUGAGACUAACUUGCAAAAUAAGGAUCAGCAUAGGUGGUUGGACCACCGUCGAGAAGCCAUGCUUCAGCAGCAGCAGGAAGAGCUGCAACAGAGAGAAACUAAGCAACGUGAAUAGGAGCCCUGGUCAGGGUGAAAGGGUAGUGCAGCAUCCAUUAACUAGAGGUUUGGAGUUAGAAUUUCGGUGCAGAGGGUAUCCCUUUGGUUAUUGGACAUUUAUUAUUUUAAAUUUGGAUGCAGAAAAUUCUUACUGUUUCUUUCCUCAGUAA
rnacentral:lncRNA from 1 species